CAUUAGUAUAACGGUAGAACAUCGGGCUCUUAAUCCGUAAGGUCGGGGUUCAAAUCCCCG
rnacentral:tRNA from 1 species